rnacentral:lncRNA from 1 species
AUGCCUCCCACCUUCCUGCUGCUGUCGCUGCUGCUCCUGCGGCUCCAGGGCCCUGUCUCAGGUGCCCCCAUGGAGAGUGUGUACUUAAAAUUGCAGCACUUCGAAGGGGAGACUCUGUCUGUGCAGUGCUCCUACAAGAGCCGUAAAAACCACGUGGAGGGUAAGGUUUGGUGCAAAAUCAGGAGGAGAAAGUGCGAGACUGGGUUCACCCGUGUCGGGGUGCAGGGGCCACGCUACUUGCUGCAGGACGAUACCCAGGCCAAGGUGGUCAACGUCACCAUGGCGGCCCUCAGGCACCAGGACUCAGGCCGGUACUGGUGCAUGCGCAACAGCUCUGGCAUCCUCUACCCUCUGAUGGGCUUCCUGCUGGAAGUGUCUCCAGCCUCCAGAACCAAGGGAAACACUCCUCUCAUAAAGCUGCCCAACAUCCUCCAGAGUGAAACCGUUGUCGCCACAGGCCCUGUGCCCACCUCAGGCUUUGGGGGCCCUUUCAUCAGCCAGGCGACAGCGUUCACAGCUGGACUCCUCACCUUGGCCAGACCACUGCCUUCUCCCACCUCAGGGAGCACCAGACUGACUUCUGUGAUGGGCUCCAGUUUCUCCAGCACUGGCCUGUCCACCAUGGGGCCCGGGAGGGCCACCGGGUCCCAGACAGCAACUGCAUCUCCUAGCAACACCCGAGCCUCCGCUGCAGGCCCAGGCUCCACCUCCACUAAGGCCGCGCACCUCUGCACCGUGGGAGCCCCCACCAUGGGAAUGUGCCCCACCAGCAGAACUCUCCUCAACCACUUAUUCCCCAGCAGAUACCUGGACUUUUAUCCCAUGGUGCUCGUGGGGGUGCUGGUGCUGCUCUCCAUGCUUGUGAUGCUGAUCGCAGUCUACAGCUUCUGGAAGAAGAGACACAUGGGAAGAUACAGCAUAUGCCAUGACCCUGCCAGAUCCUGGAAGGACUCGCCUGCAAGACUGGAACCUCUCUGGAGGCCCGCUUGAUCUGAAGCCACUCAACUGUGGGGUGGGGAGGAGCUUCUCCCAGAGGGACCCCAGGAGACCCCCAGGAGACUCCUCAGAGGAGCGAAGACGGAGACCUGUCUGGGUUGGAGCCGGGCUGGGGGUGAGGACUGUGCAACCUGGACUCAGGCCUUCUUGGAACCGGAGGCUGUGCCGCACCUACUCAGUUCCCCUGGGCUGCUGGGAACCUGGCGGGGUUGGGAGUCAGAGCACGUGGCACUAGGCAGGGAGUCUCUGAGGGUUUGGGGCGCCACUGAGAUGGCUCCUGAGAGCCACAGACCCCCGGGGCCCCAGCUAGGUGGCAGACAAGCC